rnacentral:rRNA from 1 species
GAUUAACGCUGGCGGCAUGCCUAAUACAUGCAAGUCAAACGGGUGUACUUGUACACCAGUGGCGAACGGGUGAGUAAUGUAUAGGUAACCUACCUUUAAGACGAGGAUAACAGCUGGAAACGGCUGCUAAUACUGGAUAGUACACUUUACCGCAUGGUUUUGUGUUUAAAGGCGCUUUCAAGCGCCGCUUAUUGAGGGGCCUAUAUCGCAUUAGCUAGUUGGUAAGGUAACGGCUUACCAAGGCGACGAUGCGUAACUGUGCUGAGAGGCAAAACAGUCACAUUGGAACUUAGACACGGUCCAGACUCCUACGGGAGGCAGCAGUAGGGAAUUUUCGGCAAUGGGGGAAACCCUGACCGAGCAAUGCCGCGUGAAUGAUGAAGGUCUUCGGAUUGUAAAAUUACUGUUGUUAGGGACGAAUGAUACGACUAGGAAAUGAGUUGUAUUUGACGGUACCUGAUUAGAAGACCCCGGCUAACUAUGUG